ensembl:snRNA U1 U1 spliceosomal RNA
CUGCUUACCUGGCAGGGUGGGCCCAUGAUGGUGUGGUGAAGGUAGCUUUCCCAGGGUGAGGCUCAUCCAAUGCACUCUGGGUGUGCUGCCCCUUGUGGCUCCCCCCACGUGGGAAACUUAACCAUGUAAUUUGUGGCAAUGAGGAAAUGUGUUUGUGCUCUCUCUCA